rnacentral:rRNA from 1 species
GUGGGGAAUAUUGGACAAUGGGGGGAACCCUGAUCCAGCCAUGCCGCGUGUGUGAAGAAGGCCUUUUGGUUGUAAAGCACUUUAAGCGAGGAGGAGGCUACCGAGAUUAAUACUCUUGGAUAGUGGACGUUACUCGCAGAAUAAGCACCGGCUAACUCUGUGCCAGCAGCCGCAGUAAUACAGAGGGUGCAAGCGUUAAUCGGAUUUACUGGGCGUAAAGCGCGCGUAGGUGGCCAAUUAAGUCAAAUGUGAAAUCCCCGAGCUUAACUUGGGAAUUGCAUUCGAUACUGGUUGGCUAGAGUAUGGGAGAGGAUGGUAGAAUUCCAGGUGUAGCGGUGAAAUGCGUAGAGAUCUGGAGGAAUACCGAUGGCGAAGGCAGCCAUCUGGCCUAAUACUGACACUGAGGUGCGAAAGCAUGGGGAGCAAACAGGAUUAGAUACCCCAGUAGUCC